AGUGAACGCUGGCGGUAGGCCUAACACAUGCAAGUCGAACGGCAGCACAGUAAGAGCUUGCUCUUACGGGUGGCGAGUGGCGGACGGGUGAGGAAUACAUCGGAAUCUACUUUUUCGUGGGGGAUAACGUAGGGAAACUUACGCUAAUACCGCAUACGACCUACGGGUGAAAGCAGGGGAUCUUCGGACCUUGCGCGAUUGAAUGAGCCGAUGUCGGAUUAGCUAGUUGGCGGGGUAAAGGCCCACCAAGGCGACGAUCCGUAGCUGGUCUGAGAGGAUGAUCAGCAACACUGGAACUGAGACACGGUCCAGACUCCUACGGGAGGCAGCAGUGGGGAAUAUUGGCAAUGGGCGCAAGCCUGAUCCAGCCAUACCGCGUGGGUGAAGAAGGCCUUCGGGUUGUAAAGCCCUUUUGUUGGGAAAGAAAAGCAGCAGGUUAAUACCCCGCUGUUCUGACGGUACCCAAAGAAUAAGCACCGGCUAACUUCGUG
rnacentral:rRNA from 1 species